CCUUGGCGGUGAGUGCAACAUAGGAAAUCUGCCUUUAGGUGGGGGACAACAGAGGGAAACUUCUGCUAAUACCCCAUAUGAGCGUAGCUGAAAUGCUAUUCUUGAAAGUUCCGGCGCCUAAAGAUGAGCCUGUGCCUGAUUAGCUAGUUGGUGGUGUAAUGGACUACCAAGGCGACGAUCAGUAGCUGGUUUGAGAGGAUGAUCAGCCACAAUGGGACUGAGACACGGCCCAUACUCCUACGGGAGGCAGCAGUAGGGAAUUUUGCGCAAUGGGCGAAAGCCUGACGCAGCAACACCGCGCGAAUGUUAAGCCCUUCGGGGUGUAAAGUUCUGUCAGUAGGGAAGAACAAAUGACUGUACCUACAAAGGAAGCACCGGCUAACUCCGUGCCAGCAGCCGCGGUAAUACGGGGGGUGCAAACGUUGUCCGGAAUCAUUGGGCGUAAAGCGUUCGU
rnacentral:rRNA from 1 species